rnacentral:lncRNA from 1 species
GCAGUUUGAUCUCAGACUGCUGUGCUAGCAAUCAGCGAGACUCCAUGGGCGUAGGACCCUCGGAGCCAGGUGCGGGAUGUAAUCUCGUGGUGCGCCGUUUUUUAAGCCCGUCGGAAAAGCGCAAUAUUCGGGUGGGAGUGACCCGAUUUUCCAGGUAGAGACACUUUUGACUUGAUCUCUGCAGUCCUCAACAUGGUAUGUAACACAAGAUAGGUCCUUAAUACUUGCAUUUGCUUGGUUCGAAACUAAACGCGUGACCGUCACGAUGACAUCUCUCAGCUUGCUCUCAUGUGGCACCACUGGGUCAUCCUUCCCAUCCCAUGACAGUUGUUAGACUCAAGUUCAGGUUUAGUUGGUCUAUCCUAGCCCCCCGUGUUGUUUACCAUUCCACAGACAAUGCAUUUCUUGGCUACUGGGAAAAAACAUCCUGCAGUGUGAACCAAUCUCCCCCUCUCCCUGCCUAGCCCUGGGUCUCAGUUUGCAGAGGCUCUGCCUUGGGCUCAUUCUCACAGAGCAGCAGCAGCCGCAGAUAAAAGUGGGGCAAGGUUCACCUGAGCACAAAGCAGAGCCCGGACUGGCUAAUAAAUUAUGUAGAGAUUCUAU